UACGGAGGAUGCAAGCGUUAUCCGGAUUCAUUGGGUUUAAAGGGUGCGCAGGUGGGCUUUUAAGUCAGUGGUGAAAUGCUGCCGCUUAACGGUAGAAUUGCCAUUGAUACUGAGAGUCUUGAGUAUGGUUGAGGUAGGCGGAAUGUGUUGUGUAGCGGUGAAAUGCAUAGAUAUGACACAGAACGCCGAUUGCGAAGGCAGCUUACUAAGCCAUUACUGACGCUGAGGCACGAAAGCGUGGGGAGCGAACAGG
rnacentral:rRNA from 1 species